GAUGGCAACGAUUGCGGAUAUUUCCUCUAUUUCUGAAACCAUUGCUGAUAUUUCCACGCUUGAAAUGCAUGUCUGGUCAAGCUAGUUCUUGAGAUAUGUAAGCAAAUUGCCAAAUUCAGUGAAUAAUAUAUGGUUAUGAAAGCAAUAUAGUUUUGAUAUAUGAAUGAAAUACAGUAGCUGAAUCCACAUUAUUGUUCUUUGCUUUAUGCAUUAGAUAUUUAACUACACAAAGAUAGUACAAUCCACUAUAAAGUUUCUAAUCUUGGAAGUUAACAAAAGAUAAAUAACUUUCAAUUCAACUAGUAAAAAGCACCAAUAUUUAUUUAUUUUUCUGAAUGUGAAUUUUCACUUUUAAAAUAAACAACACACACACACUUUCAAAACUUAUGCCACUGCAAUUCACAAAGAGAUCACACAAAGCAUUGAAAAAUUUCAUGAACAGAACAUGCAUGGAGAAAUGAUCAACCUUUUUUUCUUCCUUCUUCAACAUAACUUCAAAUGAGAAAUGUAAACACAUAAAAACCAUACAACAUAAUUUAAAAUGGAAAUCGAAUUCAAGCUCUAUCCACUUUCUUCUUUUAUAAAUCGCAAGCACACUCUUAUAGAUCAUAGGAUUCAAAAAACAAUAUACAUAGAAAUGAAGAAAAAACAACAACAAAUUAAAAAUGGAAGCCAAUGAAAAUCGUAAAACCUAAUAUCCGUGGAUCGAAUAACAGCGAUUGGACUCUAAAAUAAGUCAACGCCGGCCGGAGACGACGGGCAAUGCAAUCAGAUCGGAGAUCAAACCGGGGAGGUUUUGCAAUUUGCUUCGAAUCCGUCAUCUUAUAGACGAUUUUAAAGUCGUCGUCUAAACUGCGAACUAAGAAAUUAAAAAUAGUGCGUCGUGCGCAUCGUGUUCAAAUUUUAAUGGGUUAUUUAUAAAAAGAAACACUUUUUUUUUUUUUUUUGAAGCAACAGUUCAAAUUAUAGAUGAAAACGGGUUCGAGUUAUAUAUCAACGGG
rnacentral:lncRNA from 1 species